GACGAACGCUGGCGGCGUGCCUAAUACAUGCAAGUAGAACGCUGAAGGAGGAGCUUGCUUCUCUGGAUGAGUUGCGAACGGGUGAGUAACGCGUAGGUAACCUGCCUGGUAGCGGGGGAUAACUAUUGGAAACGAUAGCUAAUACCGCAUAAUAGUAGAUGUUGCAUGACAUUUGCUUAAAAGGUGCAAUUGCAUCACUACCAGAUGGACCUGCGUUGUAUUAGCUAGUUGGUGGGGUAACGGCUCACCAAGGCGACGAUACAUAGCCGACCUGAGAGGGUGAUCGGCCACACUGGGACUGAGACACGGCCCAGACUCCUACGGGAGGCAGCAGUAGGGAGUCUUCGGCAAUGGACGGAAGUCUGACCGAGCAACGCCGCGUGAGUGAAGAAGGUUUUCGGAUCGUAAAGCUCUGUUGUAAGAGAAGAACGAGUGUGAGAGUGGAAAGUUCACACUGUGACGGUAUCUUACCAGAAAGGGGCGGCUAACUACGU
rnacentral:rRNA from 1 species